AAAUAACAAUACGGGGCUUAAUGUCUUGUAAUUGGAAUGAUGGGAAUUUAAACCUCUUCCAGAGUAUCAAUUGGAGGGCAAGUCUGGUGCCAGCAGCCGCGGUAAUUCCAGCUCCAAUAGCGUAUAUUAAAAUUGUUGCAGUUAAAAAGCUCGUAGUUGAAUUUCUGCUGCAUUGCUUUUGCUCCUUUACGAGUCUUUGCAUUGUGGCUUAUUUCGGACUUUGUUUUACAAUGUCCGGAUGUUUACUUUGAGAAAAUUAGAGUGCUCAAAGCAGGCUUUCGCCUUGAAUAGUUUAGCAUGGAAUAAUAAAGUAGGACUUUGGUUCUAUUUUGUUGGUUUUAGGUACCAAAGUAAUGGUUAAUAGGAACAGUUGGGGGCAUUCGUAUUUA
rnacentral:rRNA from 1 species